rnacentral:rRNA from 1 species
AUUGAACGCUGGCGGCAGGCCUAACACAUGCAAGUCGAACGAGUGGCGGACGGGUGAGUAAUGUCUGGGAAACUGCCUGUUGGAGGGGGAUAACUACUGGAAACGGUAGCUAAUACCGCAUACCAUCGGAUGUGCCCAGAUGGGAUUAGCUAGUAGGUGGGGUAAAGGCUCACCUAGGCGACGAUCCCUAGCUGGUCUGAGAGGAUGACCAGCCCCACUGCAACUGCGGCACGGUCCAGACUGCUACGGCAGGCAGCAGUGGGGAAUAUUGCACCAUGGGCGAAAGCCUGCGGCAGCCAUGCCGCGUGUAUGAAGGAGGCCUUCGGGUUGUAAAGGACUUUCAGCGAGGAGGCGUUACCCGCAGAAGAAGCUCAGGCUAACUCCGGGCCAGCAGCCGCGGUAAUAC